CCCUUAGAUGUUCUGGGCCGCACGCGUGCUACACUGAGUGGAUCAGCGGGUCAGGUUGCGCGAAAGUGUUUCCUAAUCUUUAAAUCCGCUCGUGAUGGGGAUUGACGGUUGCAAUUUUCCGUCAUGAACGAGGAAUACCUUGUAAGCGCGGGUCAUCAUCCCGCGCUGAAUACGUCCCUGCCCUUUGUACACACCGCCCGUCGCUCCUACCGAUUGAGUGGUCCGGUGAAUAAUUCGGACUGCAGCAGUGUUCGGUCACGAACGUUGCAGCGGAAAGUUUAGUGAACCUUAUCACUUAGAGGAAGGAGAAGUCGUAACA
rnacentral:rRNA from 1 species